rnacentral:rRNA from 1 species
CCUACGGGUGGCUGCAGUGGGGAAUAUUGCACAAUGGACGAAAGUCUGAUGCAGCAACGCCGCGUGGAGGAUGACACAUUUCGGUGCGUAAACUCCUUUUAUAUGGGAAGAUAAUGACGGUACCAUAUGAAUAAGCACCGGCUAACUCCGUGCCAGCAGCCGCGGUAAUACGGAGGGUGCAAGCGUUACUCGGAAUCACUGGGCGUAAAGAGCGUGUAGGCGGGUAUAUAAGUCAGAAGUGAAAUCCAAUAGCUUAACUAUUGAACUGCUUUUGAAACUGUGUACCUAGAAUGUGGGAGAGGUAGAUGGAAUUUCUGGUGUAGGGGUAAAAUCCGUAGAGAUCAGAAGGAAUACCGAUUGCGAAGGCGAUCUACUGGAACAUUAUUGACGCUGAGACGCGAAAGCGUGGGGAGCAAACAGGAUUAGAUACCCGGGUAGUC